AUUUGAUGGUGGGGGCAGCUAGCGCAUAACCCCUUAAAUCUCUCCCAAUACUCAUAUAAUGACUCACCAGUUUGUUGGUGAAUGCCACAUAUUUCCUUUUUUAUACU